UACGAAGGGGGCUAGCGUUGCUCGGAAUUACUGGGCGUAAAGGGCGCGUAGGCGGAUAUUUAAGUCAGGGGUGAAAGCCCGGGGCUCAACCUCGGAACUGCCUUUGAUACUGGAUAUCUUGAGUUCGGGAGAGGUGAGUGGAAUGCCGAGUGUAGAGGUGAAAUUCGUAGAUAUCGGGAGGAACACCAGUGGCGAAGGCGGCUUCCUGGCCUGUUCUUGACGCUGAGGCGCGAAAGCUAGGGGAGCAAACGGG
rnacentral:rRNA from 1 species